UACGAAGGGGGCUAGCGUUGCUCGGAAUUACUGGGCGUAAAGCGCACGUAGGCGGAUUGUUAAGUCGGGGGUGAAAUCCUGGAGCUCAACUCCAGAACUGCCUUCGAUACUGGCGAUCUCGAGUUCGGGAGAGGUGAGUGGAACUGCGAGUGUAGAGGUGAAAUUCGUAGAUAUUCGGAAGAACACCGGUGGCGAAGGCGCUCUGCUAGGCCGCAACUGACACUGAGGGACGAAAGCUAGGGGAGCGAAUGGG
rnacentral:rRNA from 1 species